GAUGAAGAACGUAGCGAAAUGCGAUAAGUAAUGUGAAUUGCAGAAUUCAGUGAAUCAUCGAAUCUUUGAACGCACAUUGCGCCCGCUAGUAUUCUGGCGGGCAUGCCUGUUCGAGCGUCAUUUCAACCCUCAGGCCCCCAGUGCCUGGCGUUGGGGAUCGGCCGCUGGCGUCCUUCGGGGCGCCUGGCCGGCCCCGAAAUCUAGUGGCGGUCUCGCUGUAGUCCUCCUCUGCGUAGUAGCACAACCUCGCANUNGGAANNCGGCGGUGGCCAUGCCGUUAAACACCCCACUUCUGAAAGUUGACCUCGGAUCAGGUAGGAAUACCCGCUGAACUUAAGCAUAUCAAUAAGCGGAGGA
rnacentral:misc_RNA from 1 species